UUUUCGGUGACUGAGGAUGUAGGUGUUAAACUUUUAAUUUAAAAACGGCCGAGAAACGUUUAAGGCCCCGGAAGA
rnacentral:tRNA from 1 species